GACGAACGCUGGCGGCGUGCUUAACACAUGCAAGUCGAACGGAAAGGCCCUGCUUUUGUGGGGUGCUCGAGUGGCGAACGGGUGAGUAACACGUGAGUAACCUGCCCUUGACUUUGGGAUAACUUCAGGAAACUGGGGCUAAUACCGGAUAGGAGCUCCUGCUGCAUGGGGGGGGUUGGAAAGAUUCGGCGGUUGGGGAUGGACUCGCGGCUUAUCAGCUUGUUGGUGGGGUAGUGGCUUACCAAGGCUUUGACGGGUAGCCGGCCUGAGAGGGUGACCGGCCACAUGGGGACUGAGAUACGGCCCAGACUCCUACGGGAGGCAGCAGUGGGGAAUAUUGCACAAUGGGCGGAAGCCUGAUGCAGCAACGCCGCGUGCGGGAUGACGGCCUUCGGGUUGUAAACCGCUUUCGCCUGUGACGAAGCGUGAGUGACGGUAAUGGGUAAAGAAGCACCGGCUAACUACGUG
rnacentral:rRNA from 1 species